CCGUUUGGGAGGUGUCCGGUUCUGGUACGGGUGUCCUAUCCGCCGCGUAACGGCGAACGGAACCAGAGCAGCUGCAUUGAACAGAGAGAUAGAGAGGAGAGGCGCACACCGUGACGACAGCCUCUCCAAGCCUGGACGGGGCAGACGGGGGUCCCACUGGUUGCAGAUGUUGGGUGUUAGUAAUCCGAUGUAAUCCACUGAUUAUGAGUGAUUAUGACAUAUUAGCUCAGUCCUACCGGGAUACCACCGUGUCACCGGUUAUCCAAAGUACACCAAGAGAAGCCACCAGCCCGCCUCCUGCCCGCCUUUCUCAAUUUACUGAUGUCCUGUAUGUUGAGUGACUUCACUGCUCCAUGAUUACAGCAGAAAAGGGAGACCCCGAGAGAGAAAGGGAAGUUGUCUGGGAUGGUCGGUUGCUUGGUAACAGUUGUGUGUCCUGACCAGUAGAGGCAAGCUGGGCAAUGUUGAUGAAGCGAGAAAAUGAAACGGGUUCAGCGAUGGACAGGUACUGUACGCAAACAUGGGGAUCAGACACAUAAAAUAUGUAUAGAUGCUAACAGCAUGCAUUGCUGUAGCACAGACAUGAGCCAGCAUGUCAGUGUUGACCUCACCGCACCUCUGUUACAUCACAGCUUUUACAUGCUGUGCUUCAUCUUAAUAAAUGCCACUGUAGGUAGACACCCACAGAGACAUAAGUACUGAAAAGCACACUCUCACCAGUCAAAUCUUCAGGUUACCUAUGUUAGGCUUUAUUUAACUGCUCAGCACACAGUAUAUGGUUCCGUGACCGAAUCGUGACACUUAACCACAUCCCCUCUAUGCUGGUGGAUUUAGCAGUAGUUCAAA